rnacentral:tRNA from 1 species
GGUGGCUCAGUGGUAGAGUGCUUGCCUUGUAUGCAUGAAGCCCUGGGUUCAAUUCCUCAGCACCA